CAUCCAGAAGGCAACAAGCUCUGAGAGGGAAGCUCUAUCUUUUAAUUACUUUUCAAUGGAAAGAACAUUUGGUAACUCCAGGCAAUCUACGUAACAGGAGUCGCUAUAGCACCCUGGACUGGAAAAUUAAAGUAGUGAACAGCAACGUACCUUGCAAUCAUCAGCUGCCACUUCUGGCCUGAGCUGCCCAUCUGCCUCAAACAUCUGUCCGUUCCAGGCCCUGAAGCGCACGGCUUUUUCUGAAGGUUUCUCAGAUGAGCCUUCCCGCCAGACGGAGGUGUUCAGGCAGUGGAUGGUGAUGUGCUGCACCACCUCUGAGCUCAGGAGGCGGAGAAAGUUCAUCUGGACUCUACCGAUGUCAAAAUCCAGCUGUGAAGUGUGCUCUGAACUCACAGCUCCACUGCCCUCAAAACUACACCGACGACGCCCAAUACUGCACCUCCUGCAUGUACCAGCAGAGCUACAGACCCUCCUCUGCACCUUUUGGAUGGCUUGGAGUGCAUAGUUCACCUCCUACACUCAACAUCUCCCAGAGGCUCCAUGCACCGCUCUCAUAACAGCUCUCAUCGAAGACGCUGCUGAGGGGUGCUUGAGCUGGCUCUGCAGCCUGGCUGCCAGCACACACCACGGCCUUGUAACCACAGGCACGAGGAUGACGUGAACAGUCACGCUGCCUUGGAUUAGAUAUCUCUGUGCACAAGCGAGCAGUGAAGAGCAGGGAAGUGUGCACGCUGAAGAGAGCUGUGCCGACACUCCUCCACUCACGCACAAGCUGGUCAUGGGUCUUCUGUAAAACACCCUCCCAGGGUUCUCCCUGCUAUCCCAGCCUGUGGAUCUGCACCCUCUCCUGCAGGAGACAGCUUGGAGUCAGGUCUGAUCAGCUCCAUUCAUCACUAACCGGCUGUCCUUUGGGUCCCGGAUCGCCAGGGCUCCCUGGAAGGCCGGUUCCUCCUGAUGAUCCUCGCUUCCCUGUUUGGCCAGUCUGUCCAGGCAAUCCUCUUUCACCCUAAAAAUAACAGAAUUCAAGUAAUUCCAAAGGACAGGAGCUAAAUAUAACAACACUCAGCCAAAAUAGCCAUAGAUGGAAAGCUGGAAAAGAGUGGCUCAUCGGGAUAAGGAAUGUGGUUUCAUCAGGAGAUGCCUCAGGUCUGCUAAGGCGGAUUGUUGCAGGAUGCACAGGGUGAGACCAGUGACGGGCAUGGCUGUGUCCCCUCCUGAGCUUCAUGCAGAGCAGGAGCUUCAGCAGAGCUGUACUGCCUGCAUCAGGGCUAAGGACAGCAAGGUCCGAGGGGGGUGAAAUGUCUUCUGUUUGCUCUUCCAUAUGUUGUCUGUCCUGCCCUGUCGUUUCUCAUAAUCUCUUCCCCCCAGCAGGCUAGCAAUUGAUGAUUAAUCCAUCUAAAAUGUUGAAGACAUGCCAAGACUUUAGCUGGAGGGCUUCAAUCCAGAGGCUGCAAAGCCAAUAUUUUCCCCAGCACCAACUCUGCAACUUAAGGACAAGAGAGGGGCUUCUGAGACCCAGCACCACACUUUGCUCCCCACCUCUUCCCCUUGCCAAGCCCCAGGAGCAGUACAAGCCCCGGCUACUCGAUCUGGGGCAGACUGGGAGAGAGGAGCAAAGGCGGCAAGAGCCUAGGAUGGUUGAGCAGCUGGAAAAGGGGCAACAAAUUUCCCUGGAGCCAGGGUAUGAAUCUGUCGUAAUGACACAAGGGUCUUUCAGUCAUUUCUGGUAACAGCCUGUUAUUCUACCCAAGGCAGCUGGAGGGCAGCAAGUGACAGUUCAAGAGUGAUGUGUUAUGGGAGACAUAAUUUAAAUCAGACCUGAUAGCCUCUCCAAACCCAGCUGGAGUCUUCCUAUUUACAGAUUUUCUACAAACAGCUGAAUUGCUAUUGGUCCAGUUUACAUCCUGUGGCCAGCCUGGACCAGGGCAAGGACCAGGAAAAAACCCCAAGGUCACUAAAGCAGCUUGUCCCUGCUUCCACCCAGAGCGAUGUCCAAGCCCAUACCGGUUCCAGCCGUUCCAACCCAGUAAAUAUAUGCUAAAAAACAAGCAGCACAAAUUUCCCUUCAGCAGUUCAAGCCUUGCAGGGCAGCAGCUAGAGGACACCCAAAUUUCCCAUGGAGUCAUCCAUCCUGGACAUCCUACAGGCAGGCUGUAGCAGUUCCUUUGCAACUUCUCCAAGGCCAUGUUUUUUACCCAAGUUUCUAAUGAAAGAAGGCUAAAGUGUUCAUAGCGUGGGUAUGUGUAUCUGUAGGCUCCUGAGCUCAGUGAACUUUGACAAAGGAGGAGGGGUCUCUGGGACAUUCAACUGCUGUGAACGUCAUGGAAAUGGAUGGAUGAUGGAUGGAUGGGGAGAAAGAUCUAUAGAGUCUCUAGCUAAGUGAAAGAUGGCAGCAGGAGUCAAGACUUUAUUAGACCUUGGAGAAUCCAAGCUCUAGAGACAAGAAGCUCACAGACUGGACUGCUUGUAGCAGCAUCUCAGGGAGUCAGAAACUCACCUUGAAUCCUGGUGGUCCCUGUGCCCCGGGGAGUCCCGGUAUGCCAGGGUUCCCUCUUUUGCCUGACAUCCCUGUCACACCUUCUUCCCCAUCAUCACCCUGCUCUCCCUAGAAAAGAAACCCAGAAGAGGUUAUGAAACAAGACACUCUUUCUACCUUUGCACAGCUUCUUGGGGGACCAGGGAGUGGUGUGAUUCUGCCCUCAGCAAGCACCAUGCAUCUGGGCGUGGAUGGAUUUGCAGAGAUGUAUAUAGAAGUUUGUGCAUGCAAGUAUCAGUCAGGCUAGAAACACCGGUUUAUUUGCAGACUUGGCCAUGUAAAGGCAGCUGCUGCCUCUAUGUGCAUGUGAGAUAUGAAAAGGAGCAUAUGAUCCACUCUGGGUACAUGUAAACUGGAAUAUCUAUAGCUGGACUACAUCCAUUUCUCCUGUGCUACGUUUUAGUUUUCCAGGUCCUAAGCUGCAUUUGCUAUUGAUGCUCUAAGGUUACAGUUGCAAACUCACCAGCAUCCCAGGCACGCCAUCCUUCCCAGGCACUCCAUCCACUCCAGGGGCACCCUCUUGACCCUGCCUUCCCACCACUCCUCGAGGACCUGGUAGCCCAAGGAUGCCCUAAAAUCACAAAGGUGUUAGCAAUGGAGCUGCCGGGCAGCAUUUGCUGGGGCAGAAAAUUGAAUUUUUACCUACCGGUGAGCCUCUGCUCCCUGCAUUGCCCCGUGUUCCUUGCUUUCCUUUUUGACCCUGCAAGUAAAAAAAAAGACAGACAUCUAAAAUUGCAGCAGUUCUAGCACAACUUCACUUGGGAGCCUGACUUCAGGGUGUGCUUUUGGAUAAUAUUUGGAAAGAGUUUUAUAAAAAGGAGAUUUAUAAAGUCAGUUGCUCCAACACUGGGGAAUGAAAUGCUAUUUGGUUUUAUUACAAGUGAUUCUUCGUAUGUCUUGAGAGUUCUGGGGCAGGAAUGAAUAGCUAGAAGGCAAGGACCUACAUUUUUCCUAAUACAGAGCAGAUGAGGACAAAUAAAGCAGGAUGAACUCAAGGGAGGACUCAGUGCACUGGCAAACAUUAGAACAAGAUGCUUAAAACCUGCGUCCUCUGUCAGUUCACUGACAGCACAGUGCCAAACCAAGGACCCAGCAAGUCUUCUGCAGGGCAUUCAGCAAGAGCUUUUCUCUGCGAGGUAGCUCCUACAAUUUUGGAAAGUUAAUGGAAAUGAGAAGGGUAUCUUGUGUCUAAAAUUUGCAAUGCUGCUUUGUGAAUAAAGAUGUAAAAGAAAUACUCCUGAGCUUUAUUAGCUGUAAAAAGGAUUAAUUUCUGCAGAAUGAAUGGAAAACUCAGCCUCAUCACCUUCACUAGGGCUCUCUUAGUGAGGUCAUGUACUAAUGCACUUUUAAAUUGAAGCGUUGCAUUUUCUGUGCAUUGUUUCUCCAUCUGCAGGGACCAGGCAGGCGAGCUACAUGAAAGAAAUAUUCCUGGGGGUGCUUUCUCCGCUAUUCAUUAGACCCAAAGGCAGUUCCAGAUUGUCCAUCGAUGGGUAGAGUUUAUUUAUCUUAUCGCCUGGUAUGCUUUUUGCCAAGAACACCUACUGUAGGUUAAACUAUCUUCUGGCAUUACCCCAGCAGGGUCAGAUUAAAAAUCCUGACAUCUGCCAAAAGGGAGCAGGAAUUUGCUGAGUAUUGAGGUCACAUUCUUAUGUUUUAGCAAAUAAAGUCCCUGAUCUGUGAGAAUAAUUAGCAAGCUGUCCUUACAGCCAGAUGUGGAGGUAGGAAUAGGUAUGAGGUACCCCAAAGAAUGUUGAAGGACCCAUGCGUGCUGUGUUUUCUUGCUCAAUAAGGGCAAGAAGUUAGAGGGACUCUUCCAAGAAAUGUAACUGCAUGGGUAAUUGGACUCCAAAUCUGGAAGGUUUCAAGCCAGAAAAGUUUACGGUUCAAGUGAAAGAGAGAGACACUUGCCUGGCUCAGACCUCCUUAGGGACAGAGGAGCCAGCUGUGGCUGGAAGCACCACAAACACGGGUAUGGGAAAGAGACACAACCCAUGGCAAUGACUAAAGACCUGCCCAAGAUUCACCCAUCAUGCUGGAGCUGUAAUUGUCUUGAUCUCCGGCUUCACAAGGCCAACAAACUAUUGGGCUUGGACACUCAAAUGCAUGUUUACAGCCCUCCCACCAGGUUCUCCACAGUCUUUCAAGGCGUAGACCAUAGGCCAAAUCAUACAUGCUGGGGAAAAACAUGAGUCCCCUUAAUUAGACAUUUUCUUUAAACUUGGGACACUAUAAAUCCACCCUGCUGAAACCUACCACAUCACCUUUGGAUCCCUUUGCUCCUGGCUGGCCUGGUGGUCCAGGAUCCCCCUACAAAACAUAAGCAAGAAAAAUCUGCUUGAAAUUCUCUUCUGGCAGUAUCCUGCAUGAAGUACAAAGAACAGCAUUUUUGUGCCCUAACAACGCUGACUGUAUGGAAACAAUUCAGGGGAACAGCCUGUGCUCAGACAGGCCUCCUGGGGAAAAAGGAGCAAGGAACUGUCUCCAGAGAGCAUUUAACAGGGUGUCAAUUGGAGAAGAAGCAAUGCUACCCCCUCACUUGGGUGGUGUUUGCAUUCACGGAAAUCAUUCACUAAAUUCCAGAUGGCGCCUGGAAAACAGUGCUGGGAAGUGGGCAGGAAGGAGCCUGUUUUGAGAAAGGUACUGCAGAAGCUACGUGCAGAACGAGUAGUUUAUACAGUGACUACAUCUUUAGUGUUGGUACUACCUCCCUUUUGCAUGCUGCAGCCCUUUCCUUGGUUUCGCCUAGAUGUCAGAUAUUAGAGAGCUACCUAUGGAGGAGUAAAGCAGAGAGGGUAUUUCACUACUCUCUUACUGGUGUCUUCCCCAUCACACACGUCUCCAUCUUUUCUUCUGGCCAUCCAGGAUUUUUUUGUGGGUAUUUGUGUCAGGGGCAAUUUCUGGUCUAAUAUCAAAGAAAUGGUAAGUAAAGACACAUCUGCGGAGCUCUCCUUCUUCAGCUCGUUUCUGAGUCACGUGGUUCUUACGGCUCUUUACUAAAGACAAUCCUAAGCUCCUGCUUCCACCUGAAACACUGACAUCUGAGGGGCUACCACCCCUCAGAAUAAACUACAUCCACUGGGGAAUGCAGCAGCUCUACCCAUUUCUAGGCCGUAUGACAGAGCAGUAAGAUUUUACCCCAAAAUAGAACCUGUUGUUCCCAGGAGCCCUACAAAGAAUAGGAGUUGAUUCAACCUUAUUUCCCAAUAUGAACUACAUUUAACGUGCUGCUGCACUCACAGUUGCAAUAGUCACAUAUAUAAAUUAGAUGCUGCUGUAUAUAGCAAGGGAAUAAAAAGUCCUUCCCUUAAAUUUGGAUAUAAUUUAGUCUUUCAUAAACGCAGUGGUUUGAGAAGAAACACCAUGCAGGCAGAAUAACAUGGUCUUACCUCACAACGCACCAGCUCUCACCAGCAGCAUACCAAAUGUAUCAUUUCCAAGCGGACCCUUCCACUGUCAUCAUCAUCUCCCACUGCCCAUCUCCUAAGAUUUCUAGUCCCUCUUGGAUUGUUCAGAAAAGACAAUUCUGGAGACAGGCUUCUGGGAGUGCACCCUGUUCUGUCACCCAUUCAUUAGUCUCAACGUGAGACUCAAAAUGCCCAUUCUAUAGGCCUGCCUGGCUUAUGGAAAUGCACACGUUGCAUUUCACAGCUCACCACACAUUCCUCACUGCAGCCCUUCCUACCUUCCUUCCUUUUUGCAUCUGUUUUUCACAUGCAUGUGACAUUGGGUAGCUUACAAUAAAGCAGCAUCUCUUACAGGUAA